GCCCCUAUAGCUCAGCUGGUAGAGCGGCGGUCUUGUAAACCGUAGGUCCCGUGUUCGAAUCAUGGUGGGGGCACCA
rnacentral:tRNA from 1 species